UCUGCAACUCGACCCCAUGAAGUCGGAAUCGCUAGUAAUCGCGUAACAGCAUGACGCGGUGAAUACGUUCCCGGGCCUUGUACACACCGCCCGUCACACCACGGGAGUUGGUUUUACCUGAAGUCGUGGCCCUAACCUUUUGGAGGGGAGCGCCUACGGUCGAACUGAUGACUGGGGUGAAGUCGUAACAAGGUAGCCCCA
rnacentral:rRNA from 1 species